rnacentral:rRNA from 1 species
CCUACGGGAGGCAGCAGUGGGGAAUCUUGCGCAAUGGGCGAAAGCCUGACGCAGCCAUGCCGCGUGAAUGAUGAAGGUCUUAGGAUUGUAAAAUUCUUUCAGUAGGGACGAUAAUGACGGUACCUACAGAAGAAGCCCCGGCUAACUUCGUGCCAGCAGCCGCGGUAAUACGAAGGGGGCUAGCGUUGCUCGGAAUUACUGGGCGUAAAGGGAGCGUAGGCGGGUUAUCAAGUUGGAGGUGAAAGCCCAGGGCUCAACCUUGGAAUUGCCUUCAAAACUGAUAGCCUAGAGUAUGAUAGAGGUAUGUGGAACUCCGAGUGUAGAGGUGAAAUUCGUAGAUAUUCGGAAGAACACCAGUGGCGAAGGCGACAUACUGGGUCAUGACUGACGCUGAGGCUCGAAAGCGUGGGGAGCAAACAGGAUUAGAUACCCUGGUAGUCCACGCUGUAAACGAUGAUUGCUAGUUGUCGGACGGCAUGCCGUUCGGUGACGCNGCUACGCAUAGACAUCCGCCGUCGGGAGGUACGGUCGCGAGAUUAAACUACGAAGAAGUAGUACGCGUGAGACGUGCCGACGGACGACGACGAGGGAGGUUAGG